CUCUUCCAGGAAGUCUUGAUAAUUACUCAGGUGUGAGCACUCAGGAUUUGUUGGCAGUCUGGGAGCGAGAAGAGUCCAGAAGUCUUUCAAAUAGCUUUUUACAAAUAUUUUUGGAUUGUGCAUAUUUAUUUUUGUCAACGACCAAGUGGUCAAGAGCUGGCCCUGAACUCGAAGCAGUGUAAAUUCAGAUGCAUAUCCCAGAUUAAACCAAGGUAUCCUCUUUUAAAGAAGCAUUUUCUACGCCCUGACUGGUUAGUCUUCUCUACACUCUAAUACUACUACCCUGGUGUGACCUGAGGCUCAGCCGACGUCAUGGCUAUCUCUCCCACCGUAACCCUCCACCUGGACGAUGGUGUGGUGCGUGGCCUGGACCUGCAGUCCUGUGCUGUCCAGCUGUGUAAAGGACAUGGUCACUGUGUGGUUCAGGGACAGGCCACCACCUGUGAGUGUAUCCUGGGGUACAGAGGAGAGUUCUGCCAUGAGAGUGUCAAUGAGGCAAUCGGUGUUCCGCUCACCCUGGGGGUAGUGGCCUUUAUCGUUGGCAUCCUCAUCGUCUCCUUCCUCAUUGCGUUCAUCAGGCAGAGGGUCAAGGUCAAAAGGAAAGCUGCAGCCAAGGAUUCAAGUGGUUUAGAGAAAGACAUUCUGUAGCACCAUCAAGGUUUGGUUGACGGUCCAACAUCAGAGCACAUCCCCUUCAUCCGGCUUUAUCCCCAGUAUAAACAAUUAUAUACUGUAGUACUCUUCAUUUGAACUACAUGCGCUAGUGUUAACUACUAUACCAUAGCACUACUUAUAUAAACAACUAUGCUGCGGUACUAAUAGAAAUACAUAUAUGGUGGGACGACUGUUUUUGGCGAUAGCUGUGUUCGAAUACUAACAAACUGUAUACUACAUACUUAAUAAGUGUAUAUUACAUACUAUAUACUGUUUGUUGAUUUUUAGUAUACUGUAAAUUACCGGUAUCCUUUCAGUUGAUUGUACUAGCGCUUCACCUGUCUAUCUGUAGUUGAUGCUGUUGCUAUACAACUUCUUGUUAGCAUAGCUAACAAAUUACUAGCUAGACGUUUUACGACUUCAUUGAGAACCCACAACGGCUAUACCACUUAGCUAAGCAAAGAUAGCAUAUAGUUAAUAUACUGGCAAGUUUGUAUUAGUAGCUAGCUAACAUACGGUACCUACAAGCAACUGCUGUUAUGAUACGCUAUACAGUUCUAUGCUAACAAACUGUCAGCGAACGUAACGUGACUUAUUUGAAAAGUCGUUACUCCAGAGUGGUGCAGCAGUCUAAGGCACUGCAUCUCAGUGCUAAAGGUGUCACUACAGACCCUGGUUCGAUUCCAGGCUGUAUCACAACCGACCAUGAUUAGGAGUCCCAUAGGGCGGCGCACAAUUGGCCCAGGGUCGUUAGGGUUUGGCCGGGGUAGGCCGUCAUUUUAAAUAAGAAUUUGUUCUCAACUGACUUGCCUAGUUAAACCCCAAUAUUAAAGGUUACAUAAAAAUGAAAUUUCUCAACAAUUUCCUUCCGUUUGAGCCUGGCCUGACUGGCUUACCUCCUUUAGAGCCUGGCCUGACUGGUUAGUUGCCUGACUGUUAGUGUUAUCUGACUCAGGACAAGUGAUUGAAAGACACACCUAAGGAGUGGAAACAUUUAACACAUUUUCUCCAAAACAUGACAGGAAUUUCAACGCUGGUAAACCAGUCAGUCCAACAGUGUUUUUCAUUGGCAACAGAAAGCAUCCGCUGGGGAUUGAGGUUUGAAAAUAAACACUGUUUUAUACAGGCUGUAGUGUUCGUCAAAACAGGUUUCGUCUUGCAUACUUAGGAUUGCAUGACUAUCCCUAUUGUGCUGCUGAGUGCCUUAGAUCAAAGUGAAUGUUAUUGUCCAACAUCAGAGCUAGGCCUUUUCAUUGGCUCCACCCCUGGUACAUAUAUAAAUAACUAUAUUCUGUAGUACUCGUCAUAUAAACAACUAUAUACUGUAGUACUCUUCAUGUAAACUAUAUAUUGUAGUACUAUUCAUAUAAACCAAAUAAUUAUAUACACGACUACUGUAUACAGUAUACUGAAGUACUAUUCAUAUAAACAACUAUAUACUGUAGUACUUUUAAUACGAGCAACUAAAAACUUUAGUACUAUUUAUAUUACCAACUAUAUACUGUAGUACUAUUCAUAUAAACUACAUGCGCUAGUACUACUAGUGUUAACUACUAUACAAUAGGACUUCUUAUAUAAAUACAUAUGCUGUGGUACUAUGCUGUGGUAUCCUGGCCUGUCUAGUUUAUAUGGUGAUACAUGCUGUUAUGACUGAUUAGUGUGGUGAUGCACUCUGUUUCCUAACUUGUUUGUGUUGCUUGUGGCUGUGUUGCUUGUGGUUUGUUGCCUGAUUGUUGCCUGACUUGUUUGUGUUGCUUGUGGUUGACUGGUUUGUGUUGCUUGUGGCUGUGUUGCCUGAUUGUUGCCUGACUGGUUUGUGUUGCUUGUGGUUGUUGCUUGUGGUUUGUGUUAACUGAUUUUGUGUUGCCUGACUUAGUGUUAUCUCUGACUCAUCAGUGAUUAAUAGACCUAAGCAAUGGCAACAUUCAGUUGCUCCAAAACAUGACAGGAAUUCCAACUGAGCUUUUCAUUGGCCACAAAGGUUUGAAAAUAUACACUGUAUACAAGUCUGGUCCCCUCGCUGAUAUAAUUUUCUCUUGUAACUGUAAACUCAAGUGAGUUUUUGUCUUAAUUUCAAGCUGCUCCAGUCUCUCCCUCUAGAGGUUGGUGAGAACAUAAUGGAAGCCUGUCCAGUCAUGGACCUUCGGAUCAUACAACCGCCUUGUUAAUUCCAUGUGGAUAAAAUGCUAUUAUGUUCUUGAAUAAUUAUUGUAGAAGCAUUGCAAACAAAAUAUUUUAUCCAUUGUAUUUUUUAAGCUUUGUUCUUGUAUCUGAAUUUUGGAUAUGCUUAAACCUGGGCAAAUUCACAUUAAAACACUGUUUACUUCUGUGUGA